rnacentral:rRNA from 1 species
GCGUAAAUUGCCCGAAUCCUGACACAGGGGGGUAGUGACAAGAAAUAACGAUACAGGGCUACAUCUAGUCUCGUAAUUGGAAUGAGUACAAUUUACAUCUCUUAACGAUGAUCAAUUGGAGGGCAAGUCUGGUGCCAGCAGCCGCGGUAAUUCCAGCUCCAAUAGCGUAUAUUAAAGUUGUUGCAGUUAGAACGCUCGUAGUCGGAUUUCGGGGCGUUCCGACCGGUCUGCCGAUGGGUAUGCACUGGCCGGAGUGUCCUUUUUGCCGGAGACCGUGCCUACUCUUAACUGAGCGGGGGCGGGAGACGGCACUUUUACUUUGAAAGAAUCAGAGUGUUUCAAGCAGGCAGCUCGCUCUUGCAUGGAUUAGCAUGGGAUAAUGAAAUAGGACUUUGGUGCUAUUUUGUUGGUUUCGAACACCGAAGUAAUGAUGAGAAGGGACAGUCAGGGGCACUCGUAUUCCGCAGAGAGAGGUGAAAUUCUCAGACCCGCGGAAGACGAACCACUGCGAAAGCAUUUGCCAGGGAUGUUUUCACUGAUCAAGAACGAAAGUUAGGGGAUCGAAGAUGAUCAGAUACCGUCGUAGUCUUAUCCAUAAACCAUGCCGACUAGGGAUUGGAGGAUGUUCACUGAUUGACUCCUUCAGCACCUUACGGGAAACUAAAGUCUUUGGGUUCCGGGGGGAGUAUGGUCGCAAGGCUGAAACUUAAAGGAAUUGACGGAAGGGCACCACCAGGUGUGGAGCCUGCGGCUUAAUUUGACUCAACACGGGGAAACUUACCAGGUCCAGACAUUGUGAGGAUUGACAGAUUGAGAGCUCUUUCAUGAUUUAAUGGGUGGUGGUGCAUGGCCGUUCUUAGUUGGUGGAGUAAUUUGUCUGGUUAAUUCCGUUAACGAACGAGACCUUAGCCUGCUAAAUAGUGACGCGAACUCUUUGUUGGCGGUCCACUUCUUAGAGGGACAACUUGUCUCCAACAAGUGGAAGUUUGAGGCAAUAACAGGUCUGUGAUGCCCUUAGAUGUUCUGGGCCGCACGCGCGCUACACUGAUGCACUCAACGAGUCUCCACCUUGUCCGAGAGGUCCGGGAAACCUUCGAACUUGCAUCGUGAUGGGGAUAGAUUAUUGCAACUAUUAAUCUUCAACGAGGAAUACCUAGUAGGCGCAUGUCAUCAGCGUGCGUUGA